rnacentral:sRNA from 1 species
GGUACAGCCAGAACAGCCCAUAGUCUCCAAUGCGAUGGUUCUCAAAUAUAUCCUUGUGGCAACUCUGAUGCUGACUCUAGUAAAUUGUGGCUACAUUAAGUGGGAUACCCCCGUUACAAUUUGCCAUGUCAUUGGACGAUGCCAAGAACCAGAUGGAGAAUAUUGCCGUGGACGCCUACUCGAAGAUAGAAAAUGUGGUAUAAAUCGUUGCUGCCUACGUAAAUAUGAGGCAAAAAAAGAUCAGUUUCUCGUUCCUGAUGUAUAAGGUAUAUAAGAUUUUAAUCGUGAUCUUGAAAUAGGAACAAAACUGAAAUAAAUUUCUUAUUUAGUUGACCCUAUUUUCGAAAAUCAACCGAAGUGAAUUUCUUCUAUCCAAUUCAUCCGCAAUUGUUCACGGAUCGGUUCAGCGUUCAGUCACGCUUCAAUUAAUUAAUGUUUAGAUACGGCACCUGCAUAACUUAUUUGAUUGGAAACGCGAAGUAUUCUAAUAGUUUAAAGGUGAAUUUUAAUAUUGAAACGGGCGAUUAUUUCCGAAGAGUCAGAGCUGUGGAAAGCUAGAAAAUGUUGCUCAAAUAUUCUAUAUAUUUAGCCCUGACCUUUACAUUGGUGUUUUCUAAAGAAACAAAUUAUCAACGCAAUUAUCGUGCCAAAUUGGCCAGGGCAACGAUUUCUGGUCCUUGCCGUGUUGCAGACCCAGGAAAGUGUGUGAAUAUACACGGAAAAUGCGAUGGUAAUAAGUAUCAAGCUCCAGAAUGUCAAAUGCCAUCAGUCUGUUGUGUCAGGUCCAAAAGCGUGUAUAAGAAAAUUGAGGGCUUAGAUUCGAGCUAUUUUGAAUGAUUCUGAUGCUGAACCAAUACAGAUCCGCUAUUGGUUCUUUCGUCUAAAAUAAAAUGCAUAAAAUCCCCUACUAAGGCGUACAGAAAGAGCA